AUUGAACGCUGGCGGCAUGCCUUACACAUGCAAGUCGAACGGCAGCGGGGGAGAAGCUUGCUUUUCCUGCCGGCGAGUGGCGAACGGGUGAGUAAUACAUCGGAACGUGCCCUGUAGUGGGGGAUAACUAGUCGAAAGAUUAGCUAAUACCGCAUACGACCUGAGGGUGAAAGUGGGGGACCGUAAGGCCUCAGGCUAUAAGAGCGGACGAUGUCUGAUUAGCUAGUUGGUGGGGUAAAGGCCUACCAAGGCGACGAUCAGUAGCUGGUCUGAGAGGACGAUCAGCCACACUGGGACUGAGACACGGCCCAGACUCCUACGGGAGGCAGCAGUGGGGAAUUUUGGACAAUGGGCGAAAGCCUGAUCCAGCAAUGCCGCGUGUGUGAAGAAGGCCUUCGGGUUGUAAAGCACUUUUGUCCGGAAAGAAAUGGCUCUGGUUAAUACCUGGGGUCGAUGACGGUACCGGAAGAAUAAGGACCGGCUAACUACGUGCCAGCCGCCGCAGUAACAC
rnacentral:rRNA from 1 species